rnacentral:rRNA from 1 species
GACGAACGCUGGCGGCGUGCCUAAUACAUGCAAGUUGAGCGCUGAAGGUUGGUACUUGUACCGACUGGAUGAGCAGCGAACGGGUGAGUAACGCGUGGGGAAUCUGCCUUUGAGCGGGGGACAACAUUUGGAAACGAAUGCUAAUACCGCAUAAAGACUUUAAACACAAGUUUUAAGUUUGAAAGAUGCAAUUGCAUCACUCAAAGAUGAUCCCGCGUUGUAUUAGCUAGUUGGUGAGGUAAGGGCCCACCAAGGCGAUGAUACAUAGCCGACCUGAGAGGGUGAUCGGCCACAUUGGGACUGAGACACGGCCCAAACUCCUACGGGAGGCAGCAGUAGGGAAUCUUCGGCAAUGGACGAAAGUCUGACCGAGCAACGCCGCGUGAGUGAAGAAGGUUUUCGGAUCGUAAAACUCUGUUGGUAGAGAAGAACGUUGGUGAGAGUGGAAAGCUCAUCAAGUGACGGUAACUACCCAGAAAGGGACGGCUAACUACGUG